rnacentral:rRNA from 1 species
UACAGAGGUGGCAAGCGUUGUUCGGAAUUACUGGGCGUAAAGGGCACGUAGGCGGAUUGUUAAGUCAGAGGUGAAAUCCCGGAGCUCAACUUCGGAACUGCCUUUGAUACUGGCAAUCUAGAGUCCGGAAGAGGUUAGUGGAAUUCCCAGUGUAGAGGUGAAAUUCGUAGAUAUUCGCAAGAACACCAGUGGCGAAGGCGGCUCACUGGCCCGGUACUGACGCUGAGGUGCGAAAGCGUGGGGAGCAAACAGG